rnacentral:rRNA from 1 species
UAAACGACUCUCGGCAACGGAUAUCUCGGCUCACGCAUCGAUGAAGAACGUAGCAAAAUGCGAUACUUGGUGUGAAUUGCAGAAUCCCGUGAACCAUCGAGUUUUUGAACGCAAGUUGCGCCCGAAGCCUUUUGGCCAAGGGCACGUCUGCCUGGGUGUCACGCA